AUGAAUAUAACUAUUUUAAUACUACUUAUCUUCAGUCAAUUUAAAACAAUUCGGCUCUCGCGUCACAGCCCUGCGGGGGCGCGCCGCGGGAGCGCGCGGGAGCAGCAGCGCGGUCUCGUCACACCGCGGGGGGGGUGGGGGGGGGGGGGGGGUGGGGGGGGGCGCACCGGCGAGGACUUACGUAAAAACGCUUCCGACUCUUUAGCGUGUAAAAGUCACGGUAUUCGGGAGUAUCCGCGUGGAAGUACUUGCGCGCGUGGAUUGUAUAAGAACGACGUGGCGGUAUUCAGCCGAGGAAAGUACACACGAGAUGUAGGUUCACCGGUCCGGCGCCGGUCACGAACCACCGGAAUAAAGCGCCUUUUGCCGGACUUCGUUUGGACCCCGUGCGCGCGCGCGCGCGUCCACCAUGCUCGUGAACACGACGCUGUACGCGGCGAAGAAACGCAAGAAGCCGGUGCAGAAGAUGUGAGUAUAACACUGUGAAUAGUACGUAGGACGAGGUACAGAGUACACGCAUGUACUACCGCCUGAAAUACUCUCUAUUCUCUGUGAGUCGUGUACUUCAGUGUACUUCACGCUGCUGUACGCGGGUCGAUGCGUCCGUGAUGGUUUAUUGCAGGUUUUUAUCUUUGUUCCUCCCAAAAGCCUGCGCGCGACAUGGUGCGUACAGCUGUGCGCACAUCUGGGCACGUCUGCGUGGUCCGCGGGGCGCGCGGCCAAUGAGCUCCGGUUCCCCAAAGCGAGGUCCCGAAAGAGCCGUUUAAGUCUGAUCCGCCACGUGACCCGCGGCUGCGCAUGCGCACCGGAGGGCCUUCGGGUUGAGCGCUAAAUCCCUUCAUCGCGCUUACCGUCAUGACGCCUGACCGCCGGCGACCCCGCGGGGGGCCCCGGGCCGCAGUUUGAGAAGCACUACUGCAGCGGUCCUUCUCCCGUGCAUGGAGGUUCUGUAAGGAACCCAUUGUGAACCCACACUCCCGACUCCUGCCUCUAAAGGUUCUGUAAGGAACUCGUAGAAUGAGCCCAUGUUCUCUAAGGAACCUUCUCAAGUGGUACCAACUGGACCCCUGAUGGUGUCUCCUCAGAACUCAUGGAGUGGGGUCUCAGAAGGUUCGCUGUGGACCUUGAGAGAGACGAAACGAUACCACGAAGAACCAGCGGGUUCCUCUUAGAACCUUUGUGGUCCUUCGAGAUCCUUCUCAGCGUUUCCAGUGGACCCACAGUGUGUGUGUGUGUGUGUGUGUGUGUGGUUCCACCUGCAUUAAUCACAAUCAGGACGUGGAGCGAGAGCGCUCUCACGCAAUGUUUCCACGGGGGAGGGGGGGAGGAGGGUGGAGGGUUCGGGUGGUGUAAUCUGAGACGUGUUUAAUUUUUCCUCCUCCGGCUUCCACAACAUACUUCUCUUCUUCCCGUCGUUCCUUCUUUCUCUCUCUGGGUGUUUUUUCUGGUUUCUUCUGUUUCAGAAGCUCGAGGUUCCGUGAGCAGGAAUGAACUCAUACUAUUAUUAUUGUAUUAUUAUUAUUAUUAUUAAUCGAGGUCGCGGCUGCAGCAUUAAAAUGACUCUUAUUUUGAAGUCUAGAACGCGAUCCCUGACACGGAAUUAAAUGUAUAUAAUAAACUAUCAGAAU
ensembl:lncRNA